rnacentral:ncRNA from 1 species
CAAAGUCUCAUUUUAUUUGCUAAAACAAAAGUUGUGGAAUGUUACAAUUUUUGUAGCCCUUCGUAAAGCUAUGAACUAGCUUAGAGGUUAAAGGGUUAAUUUUGUUUUUCAUAUAUUUUUAUAUUAAAUAGAAGGUUAAUUAUUUGUAGGAAUUAGUUUUAUAUAUUUAUGAAAUUUAGGAUAUAGCAUUAAUUAAUAGGUCUAACAAAAUUUGUGCCAGCAGUUGCGGUUAUACAAAUAGAUCAAUUUAACUUUGGCAGUUUUCAUAUAAUAAAUUUAUUUUUAAUAUUUUAGUUUAUUUAAUUAGAAGGUGAAAUUGUAAUUAUUAAUGUUUAAUUAUUAAUAGGUAGUUGAUUUAUAAAAAUUGAUUAAUAGACCAGGAUUAGAGACCCUGUUAUUUCAAUCGUAAAAAUUGUAGAAAGCUGAAUUAGUAAAAGUUAUGUUCUUGAAAAUUAAAGUUCUUGGCGGUAUUUUAAACCUUUCAGAGGAGCCUGUUUUUUAAUUGAUAUUCCACGAUUAAUUUUACUUUUAUUAUACUUGUAUAUCGUUGUUGAAAGAAAAUUUUUUGAGAAUUUAAAUUUUCAACUAUUUUUAUAGAAAUAUAUAUCAGAUCAAGGUGCAGUUAUUUAAAAGUAUUAAUGGGCUACAUUUAUAAAGUUUAAUUUGUAAAUUUAAAUUUAUUAGGAUUUGAAAGUAAUUUUAUUUAUUUAGGUAAGUUGAAUGGGGCUCUAAAGUGAGUACAUAUCGCCCGUCGCUUUCAUUUUAUGAUGAAAUAAGUCGUAACAUAGUAGAUUUACUGGAAGGUGGCUCUAGAAUGUU